UGGAAGAUCAGAAGGCAAUUCAUUGCCUUCUGCCCUAGGGAUUUCUACUUUUGAAGGUGAAUUUGAGUUUUGAGAGAAAAUUCUACUUCUUUGACAUCUGCGCCCUCCCCCCCACACACACACACCUUCUAAGGCUCGGGAAGGGAGGAUGCAGUGGGCUUUAGUCCAGCUUCUAGCUUUCCUGGCUUCUGCCAGCCAAGUGUCUUCCAACUUGGAAGGGAGAAUGACUGUCGCUGGGAGGACUGGGUCAACUGCUGAAAUCACUUGUGAUUUACAAGUCAGUGCCAGCUACAUCCACUGGUACCAAUUCCAGGAGGGGAAGGCUCCACGACGACUUCUGAUUUUCAUGCUGUCUAAUUCCAGAAGUGUGGUGGAUACAGGAAUCAGUCGAGCAAAAUACCAAGCUUUUAAACGUGUAGAGAAUAACUAUGGACUUCUACUAAAAAAUCUGGACAAAAGUGACUCUGCCGUGUAUUCCUGUGCCAUAUGGACCGGCACAGUGAUUCGGACCUGCCUUGUCCUACACUAAAAAUGUUGCUUUUGGCAGUUUCUGGUACACAGGAUAGACCAGCCCCAUUCCAUUUCCUGCCAUGACCUCACUGUAUGCUGAACAGAGAGAGCACUGGAGCUCAGUGCCUGGCCCUUCCCAGCCCCUUCCUAACAUCCCACUACACUCCCUUGUCAACAGCUGCAUCCUGCCCUCCGCCACCCCCAGGACUUUCCUUACAUGGAGCUGCCUUCUCUAGGCCUUAGCCAAGCAGCCUGGCUGACAGCAUAGCUCUCUUUGAGCUCUGCCAGGGGCUUAUGAAGAGGUUUACCUGCUUUCUAUGACAGAGAAGGUCA